AAGGGGAUGACAGAGAGGGCUACAAUGAAGAUGGGUAUAUCCCUCAACGCUCCAUUUAUGACACAAUGUGCAUCAAUGAACAGAUCGACCACAGUUCGGCACACAGCACUCUGGGUUCAAGAAGGGGUCGAGAAAAUGACUUCUCCAGUAAUGGUUCCCUGGGAGCAGGUGGCGACAUGUUUGACACAAGGUCUUCUGUGCUAGGCAGCAGUGGCAAAAAACUGGAUGAGAGGUUCAUUUUUGAUUCUCUGAAAUUAGCAAAUGAUGAACUGAGCAAGUCACCAAGAGGGUUUGUGAGGUCAGCGUCCCCCAGUGUAUCCUGCAGCUCGGCUCCAAGCGGAUCCAUGAACAAGCGGCAUCACCAGGACAGUGGCAAGAAGGACAACCUCUGCCGCCACUCCUGGAAGGUUUUGUCUCCACCAAAGUUCCCAGAAACAUUUGAACACUCCCCAGGAGAAAAGACCUACUUAAACCCAGGAGUUGCCUUCUUUCCAAACAGCUUCAACUCCCCACAGAUUUCACCCUUCUCUGGAUCCCCUUUUUCCACUGGUACACAUACACCUUCUGUGUUCUUCUCUCCCUCUCCAUUGCCUUUCCAUCAGCAGUUCAACAGGCCGUCUUUACCCACCCAAACGUCUUUACCAAGACCACCUCUGUCAGAGUUAUCUGUAAGUGCCCUGAUGUGUGGUCAAGAAGAUCAAGACAAACUAGAGAUUGGCCAAGUUAUGAGGAACAAUGGGGGCAUGGCAAAAGAUAAUCUGUUUCUGACUUUUAAACCCCAGAACACUGAACCUGAGAAAGAACCGCCACCAACCACCCCAGAACCUGAAGCAGACACUACGCCACUUCUGCGCUCCCAAACAUCAAAAAGACCUGCUGUCUCCCCUACACCGAUGGAGUCCACCUGGCCCCGGCGACUGAUUGGAAGGAGGAGGACAGUAAGACAAGGUGGUGCAGUACAUAACCUCCCAAUUCUUCCCCCACUACCCUCUCUGCUAAUCCGGAGUGUCUCUGACAAAAAGACCAUUCCUCGUCUUUCACCGUUCCCCGAGCACCAAGGAAAUGGGGAUGGGCAGCUCGGCAAGUCUACAUUAACAAGAGAUUUGAAGGAUUGCUCUCUACAGGAAUGGAAGCUCUUGCGGGAUCAAGAAGAAUGUAAAGCUGAAGCAUCCAAAUUUGAGAGUGUGAUUCAGGAAGCUUUAGAAGAAGAGAGCAAAAUGGUGUUCAUACAGGAGAGCGUUGAGCCAGGCA
rnacentral:lncRNA from 1 species